rnacentral:rRNA from 1 species
UACAGAGGUCCCGAGCGUUGUUCGGAUUCACUGGGCGUAAAGGGUGCGUAGGUGGUUGGGUAAGUCUGAUGUGAAAUCUCCGGGCUCAACCCGGAAAUGGCAUUGGAUACCAUUCGGCUAGAGGUUUGGAGGGGGGACUGGAAUUCUCGGUGUAGCAGUGAAAUGCGUAGAUAUCGAGAGGAACACCAGUGGCGAAGGCGAGUCCCUGGACAACACCUGACACUGAGGCACGAAAGCUAGGGGAGCAAACAGG